rnacentral:rRNA from 1 species
UACGUAUGGGGCAAGCGUUAUCCGGAUUUACUGGGUGUAAAGGGAGCGUAGACGGUACGGCAAGCCCGAUGUGAAAACCCGCAGCUCAACUGCGGGAUUGCAUUAGGAACUGUCGAACUAGAGUGUCGGAGAGGUAAGUGGAAUUCCUAGUGUAGCGGUGAAAUGCGUAGAUAUUAGGAGGAACACCAGUGGCGAAGGCGGCUUUCUGGACUGUAACUGACACUGAGGCACGAAAGCGUGGGGAGCAAACAGGAUUAGAUACCCGGGUAGUCCCU